GUUUGCUUAGUAUAAGUGUAGUAUAGGCUGCUUAGGAUAGUCAGGUGGAGUAGUUUCAGCAAGUA
rnacentral:tRNA from 1 species